rnacentral:rRNA from 1 species
CCUACGGGAGGCUGCAGUGGGGAAUAUUGCGCAAUGGGCGAAAGCCUGACGCAGCGACGCCGCGUGAGGGAUGAAGGUCUUCGGAUCGUAAACCUCUGUCAGCAGGGAAGAACGGUCACUGUGCUAAUCAGCAGUGAAUUGACGGUACCUGAAGAAGAAGCCCCGGCUAACUACGUGCCAGCAGCCGCGGUAAUACGUAGGGGGCAAGCGUGAUCCGGAUUUACUGGGUGUAAAGGGGGCGCAGACGGCGAUGCAAGCCAGGAGUGAAAGCCCGGGGCCCACCCCCGGGACUGCUCUUGGAACUGCGUGGCUGGAGUGCAGGAGGAGCAGGCGGAAUUCCUGGUGUAGCGGUGAAAUGCGUAGAUAUCAGGAGGAACACCGGUGGCGAAGGCGGCCUGCUGGACUGCAACUGACGUUGAGGCCCGAAAGCGUGGGGAGCAAACAGGAUUAGAUACCCCUGUAGUC